UACUCCUACGGGGAGGCAGCAGUAGGGAAUCUUCCGCAAUGGACGCAAGUCUGACGGAGCAACGCCGCGUGAGUGAUGAAGGUUUUCGGAUCGUAAAGCUCUGUUGCCCUAGACGAACAGCAGCAGGAGUAACUGCCUGUUGUGUGACGGUAUAGGAGAAGAAAGCCCCGGCUAACUACGUGCCAGCAGCCGCGGUAAUACGUAGGGGGCAAGCGUUGUCCGGAAUUAUUGGGCGUAAAGCGCGCGCAGGCGGUUAAUUAAGUUGGGUGUUUAAGCCCGGGGCUCAACCCCGGUUCGCAUCCAAAACUGGUUGACUUGAGUGUAGGAGAGGAAAGUGGAAUUCCACGUGUAGCGGUGAAAUGCGUAGAGAUGUGGAGGAACACCAGUGGCGAAGGCGACUUUCUGGCCUAUAACUGACGCUGAGCGCGAAAGCUGCCUUC
rnacentral:rRNA from 1 species